rnacentral:rRNA from 1 species
AGCAGCCGCGGUAAUUCCAGCUCCAAUAGCGUAUAUUAAAGUUGCUGCAGUUAAAAAGCUCGUAGUUGAAUUUCGGGACCAAUAUGUCGGUCGUGCCUCGGUACGCACUGGCUUAUAGGUUUCUCCCUUCUGACGAACCAUGAUGUCAUUAAUUUGGUGUCUUGGGGAAUCAGGACUGUUACUUUGAAAAAUUAGAGUNUUUAAAGCAGGCUCACGCUUGAAUACAUUAGCAUGGAAUAAUGAAAUAGGACGUUUGAUUC